UUUUACAUUGUUUAGGGGUUACUUCGGUAUAGUUCACAAGGAAAUGUUCUCACCCCUCCUGCUCAAACUUUUAUGUUUAUUGCAUAAAUCAUUCACCAGAAAAUUGCAAGAAUGAAGAAAUUCAGCUGUACACAAUAUUGCAGGAACUACGGAACACAAAAUGGACAUGCAUUUAUAGAAGACAAUAACUGGUCAAUGGCAUGGAUAUAACGAAAAAGAAAAGUCUACUCAGAAAGUUAAAAAUAUACUUGACCUUGUGACAUAAUAUUAAUAGUAGUGGUCAACGGAUUUGAAAGGUAGAUCGCAGCAGUAAACCAUAUUAAAAUUUACUUUUAACAGUUGCGCCGAGAAUAUGUCCAUGUUGCCGGCAUAUACAAUCCUUCAAUAUUAAAAAAUAUUUCUAUUGAAUUAAAAAAAACACUUUCAUAAAUUAAUGAUUUAAUAUUAAAUAUAUUGAAUAAACUUUA